UACAGAGGUCCCGAGCGUUGUUCGGAUUUAUUGGGCGUAAAGGGUGCGUAGGCGGCGGAGUAAGUUGGGUGUGAAAUCCCGGGGCUUAACCUCGGAAUUGCAUUCAAUACUGCUUCGCUCGAGUACUGGAGAGGAGGCUGGAAUUUACGGUGUAGCAGUGAAAUGCGUAGAUAUCGUAAGGAAGCCGGUGGCGAAAGCGAGCCUCUGGACAGUUACUGACGCUGAUGCACGAAGGCCAGGGGAGCAAACGGG
rnacentral:rRNA from 1 species